rnacentral:rRNA from 1 species
UAACCUGCCCAAGAGAUCGGGAUAACACCUGGAAACAGAUGCUAAUACCGGAUAACAACAGAUGAUGCCUAUCAACUGUUUAAAAGAUGGUUAUGCUAUCACUCUUGGAUGGACCUGCGGUGCAUUAGCUAGUUGGUAGGGUAACGGCCUACCAAGGCGAUGAUGCAUAGCCGAGUUGAGAGACUGAUAGGCCACAUUGGGACUGAGACACGGCCCAAACUCCUACGGGAGGCAGCAGGC